UCCGAAAUGGUCUAGUGGCUAGGAUUUCCGCCUCUCAACACAUCGUGAUGUAGAACGCGGAAGGCCGGGGUUCAAUUCCCCGUUUCGGAG
rnacentral:tRNA from 1 species